rnacentral:rRNA from 1 species
CGUAGGUGGUAGUGUAAGUCUGAGGUGGAAUCCCAGGGCUUAACCCUGGAACUGCCUUGGAAACUGCAUUACUUGAGUCAGUGAGGGGAGGGUAGAAUUCCUGGUGUAGCGGUGAAAUGCGUAGAUAUCAGGAGGAAGGCCUGUGGCGAAGGCGGCCCUCUGGUGCUGGACUGACACUGAGGCGCGAAAGCGUGGGGAGCAAACAGGAUUAGAUACCCUGGUAGUCCACGCCCUAAACGGUGGGCACUAGGUGUAGGGCUCGUAAGGGUUCUGUGCCGAAGGGAAACCAUUAAGUGCCCCGCCUGGGGAGUACGGCCGCAAGGUUGAA